UACAGAGGGUGCAAGCGUUGUUCGGAAUUAUUGGGCGUAAAGCGCGUGUAGGCGGCUUUGCAAGUCGGAUGUGAAAGCCCCCCGGCUCAACUGGGGAGGGUCACGCGAUACUGACCGACUCGAAGGCAGGAGAGGGUAGUGGAAUUCCCGGUGUAGUGGUGAAAUGCGUAGAUAUCGGGAGGAACACCAGUGGCGAAGGCGACUUCCUGGCCUGUUCUUGACGCUGAGGCGCGAAAGCUAGGGGAGCAAACGGG
rnacentral:rRNA from 1 species